rnacentral:tRNA from 1 species
UAGUUCAGUGGCAGAACAUGUGCUCGGCAUGUACAAGGCCCUGGGUUCAAUCCCCAG